rnacentral:rRNA from 1 species
GAUGAACGCUAGCGGCAGGCUUAACACAUGCAAGUCGAGGGGCAGCGCAGUGUAGCAAUACAUGGGCGGCGACCGGCGCACGGGUGCGUAACGCGUAUCCAACCUUCCCGUUACUCAGGGAUAGCCUUCCGAAAGGGAGAUUAAUACCUGAUGGUGUUCAAAUUCCGCAUGUUAUUUGAACUAAAGAUUUAUCGGUAACGGAUGGGGAUGCGUGACAUUAGGUAGAUGGCGGGGUAACGGCCCACCAUGCCCACGAUGUCUAGGGGUUCUGAGAGGAAGGUCCCCCACACUGGAACUGAGACACGGUCCAGACUCCUACGGGAGGCAGCAGUGAGGAAUAUUGGUCAAUGGUCUGACGACUGAACCAGCCAUGCCGCGUGAAGGUGACGGCCCUAUGGGUCUUAAACUUCUUUUUGUAAGGGAGCAAUAAGUCUCACGUGUGGGAUGAUGAGAGUACCUUACGAAUAAGCAUCGGCUAACUCCGUGCCAGCAGCCG